UUACCUGCCACCACGGUGUUGGAUGCGUCUGCCUCCUGCUGUGUCAUUGUGAAGAUCCGUGCUGGGGCUGAUGGACCUUCACCUCUGAAACCCGCUGAAGAAGAGGCUGCUCCUCUCCCUCUGCCUCUGCCACUGGCCUAAGUCAUGGCUGGAGCUGCUGGCUGCGCUACACUGCCUGAAGUUGUCUGCUGGGACUGAGCCAUUGGGGCCGCUCUUGGACAGUCUCGAGCUAUAUGCCCCUCCUGACCACAUCUGAAGCAGGCGUUCGUCCCAAACCGACAUACUCCCUUGUGUGGUCUACCACACCUUGCACAAUUUGGAAUAUCCGCACCAGAGCUUGAGCCACUCCCAAAUCCCAGACUAGACUUGACUUUAUUCCAGAACUUGUUCUUUUUACCCUUGGGUUUACCCCAUCUCUUACUGCCUGAAGCUGCUGCACUCAGGGUAGAGGGAUCUAA
rnacentral:lncRNA from 1 species